CAUCUGUAAUGAUUAAUAUCCAGUCAUUAGUUUGUUUGGACUUGAUGCUUGUUUGAGCUCAGUUUGGUGUUAAAGGCUUGAAAACUACAUUUUGACUCUGUGCUCCUCCGCAGUGUCUGAGCUGAGAUCAAUUAGAAAUCAUUACACCAACAUUUAAGCUUUUAAAGUCAAAAUUAUACUUUCAGAUUUUAACAUUGCUUUUCUCUUUGAGGUCAGUCAAGUUUUAUUUGUAAUUGUUGAGCUUUAGUGUUUAGUUUUCACUGUGUGAGUUUUAGUGGUAAAAAGUUUCAUUACUCUGCCGUAUUAGUUAGUUAAUCACUGUUUCAGGUGUUGUACUUGUGUUUUCCAGGUCGACUUGCUCAGCUGCUGCAGCUUGGACAGAAACACCAACAUCACCUUACAGACCAACAGGAGGUGACGACAGUCAGCUGUUGAUUUUCUGAAACAGCCUCUAAUGGUUGUUAAAUGUUCACGAGAGUCUUCGUACAAUUAAGAAGUUCUUUGAGACCAGGACAGAGGCCACCAGGUGUCACCACUUCGUCCACGACAUCACCAAGAAUCGCAGAGACAUGGUCCAUGAUCGGAGAGACAUUGUUGAGGAUGAGGGAGACACCGUCCACGAUCAGAAACAUUGUCUGUGGUCGCAGAGACCUUGUCAAAGACGGGAGAGACGUUGUCCGUGAUCAGAGACAUUGUCCCAUGCUUCGCAGAGCUCUGCGCAAGAAUCGGUAGUGACACUGUGGUUCCUCGAUUCGACGGCAUGACCGCGAUCAUGGAGAUAUUUGUCGAUGGUCACAGAGACAACGUCUAUGAUCUCAGAGACAUCGUCCACGAUCAUAAAGACAUUGUCCAUGGUCACAGAGACUUUGUCCAUAAUCUCAGAGACAUGUCCGCGAUCACAGAGACGUAGUCCACGAUCACAGAGAGUCUUCAUACUAUGAAGAAGUUCUUUGAGACCAGGACAGAGGCCUCCAGGUGUCACCACUUCGUCCACAACAUUGCCAAGAAUCGCAAAGACACGGCCCAUGAUCGGAGAGACAUUGUUGAGGAUGAGGGAGACAUCGUCCGUGAUCAGAGACAUUGUCCAUGACUCGUGGUGACUUGGUCCCCGAUAAGUCGGCAUUGCUGGCGUUCAGAGACAUUGUCAAUGAUCGCAGAAACUUUGUCCAUAAUCUCAGAGACAUUGUCCGCGAUCCCCGGGGCAUCGUCCACGAUCGCAGAGACAUGGUCCAUGAUCGGAGAGACAUUGUUGAGGAUGAGGGAGACAUCGUCCACGAUCAGAAACGUUGUCUGUGGUCGCAGAGACCUUGUCAAAGACGGGAGAGGCGUUGUCCGUGAUCAGAGACAUUGUCCCAUGCUUCGCAGAGCUCUGCGCAAGAAUCGGUAGUGACACUGUGGUUCCUCGAUUCGACGGCAUGACCGCGAUCAUGGAGAUAUUUGUCGAUGGUUACAGAGACAACGUCUAUGAUCUCAGAGACAUCGUCCACGAUCAUAAAGACAUUGUCCAUGGUCGCAGAGACUUUGUCCAUAAUCUCAGAGACAUGUCCGCGAUCACAGAGACGUAGUCCACGAUCACAGAGAGUCUUCAUACUAUGAAGAAGUUCUUUGAGACCAGGACAGAGGCCUCCAGGUGUCACCACUUCGUCCACGACAUCGCCAAGAAUCGCAAAGACACGGCCCAUGAUCGGAGAGACAUUGUUGAGGAUGAGGGAGACAUCGUCCGUGAUCAGAGACAUUGUCCAUGACUCGUGGUGACUUGGUCCCCGAUAAGUCGGCAUUGCUGGCGUUCAGAGACAUGUCAAUGAUCGCAGAAACUUUGUCCAUAAUCUCAGAGACAUUGUCCGCGAUCCCCGGGGCAUCGUCCACGAUCGCAGAGACAUGGUCCAUGAUCGGAGAGACAUUGUUGAGGAUGAGGGAGACAUCGUCCACGAUCAGAAACGUUGUCUGUGGUCGCAGAGACCUUGUCAAAGACGGGAGAGGCGUUGUCCGUGAUCAGAGACAUUGUCCCAUGCUUCGCAGAGCUCUGCGCAAGAAUCGGUAGUGACACUGUGGUUCCUCGAUUCGACGGCAUGACCGCGAUCAUGGAGAUAUUUGUCGAUGGUUACAGAGACAACGUCUAUGAUCUCAGAGACAUCGUCCACGAUCAUAAAGACAUUGUCCAUGGUCGCAGAGACUUUGUCCAUAAUCUCAGAGACAUGUCCGCGAUCACAGAGACGUAGUCCACGAUCACAGAGAGUCUUCGUACUAUGAAGAAGUUCUUUGAGACCAGGACAGAGGCCUCCAGGUGUCACCACUUCGUCCACAACAUUGCCAAGAAUCGCAAAGACACGGCCCAUGAUCGGAGAGACAUUGUUGAGGAUGAGGGAGACAUCGUCCGUGAUCAGAGACAUUGUCCAUGACUCGUGGUGACUUGGUCCCCGAUAAGUCGGCAUUGCUGGCGUUCAGAGACAUGUCAAUGAUCGCAGAAACUUUGUCCAUAAUCUCAGAGACAUUGUCCGCGAUCCCCGGGGCAUCGUCCACGAUCGCAGAGACAUGGUCCAUGAUCGGAGAGACAUUGUUGAGGAUGAGGGAGACAUCGUCCACGAUCAGAAACGUUGUCUGUGGUCGCAGAGACCUUGUCAAAGACGGGAGAGGCGUUGUCCGUGAUCAGAGACAUUGUCCCAUGCUUCGCAGAGCUCUGCGCAAGAAUCGGUAGUGACACUGUGGUUCCUCGAUUCGACGGCAUGACCGCGAUCAUGGAGAUAUUUGUCGAUGGUUACAGAGACAACGUCUAUGAUCUCAGAGACAUCGUCCACGAUCAUAAAGACAUUGUCCAUGGUCGCAGAGACUUUGUCCAUAAUCUCAGAGACAUGUCCGCGAUCACAGAGACGUAGUCCACGAUCACAGAGAGUCUUCGUACUAUGAAGAAGUUCUUUGAGACCAGGACAGAGGCCUCCAGGUGUCACCACUUCGUCCACAACAUUGCCAAGAAUCGCAAAGACACGGCCCAUGAUCGGAGAGACAUUGUUGAGGAUGAGGGAGACAUCGUCCGUGAUCAGAGACAUUGUCCAUGACUCGUGGUGACUUGGUCCCCGAUAAGUCGGCAUUGCUGGCGUUCAGAGACAUGUCAAUGAUCGCAGAAACUUUGUCCAUAAUCUCAGAGACAUUGUCCGCGAUCCCCGGGGCAUCGUCCACGAUCGCAGAGACAUGGUCCAUGAUCGGAGAGACAUUGUUGAGGAUGAGGGAGACAUCGUCCACGAUCAGAAACGUUGUCUGUGGUCGCAGAGACCUUGUCAAAGACGGGAGAGGCGUUGUCCGUGAUCAGAGACAUUGUCCCAUGCUUCGCAGAGCUCUGCGCAAGAAUCGGUAGUGACACUGUGGUUCCUCGAUUCGACGGCAUGACCGCGAUCAUGGAGAUAUUUGUCAAUGGUUACAGAGACAACGUCUAUGAUCUCAGAGACAUCGUCCACGAUCAUAAAGACAUUGUCCAUGAUCGCAGAGACUUUGUCCAUAAUCUCAGAGACAUGUCCGCGAUCACAGAGACGUAGUCCACGAUCACAGAGAGUCUUCGUACUAUGAAGAAGUUCUUUGAGACCAGGACAGAGGCCUCCAGGUAAUUCACCA